rfam:Myotis davidii contig42244, whole genome shotgun sequence.
GGUGGUUCUCAGGUGAUGCACCCCGGAAUCGGGCUCCCUCCUCUCUGGUUCUGAGGUGCAUUAUCUGAGAACUGCA